ACAAUGAAGAGUUUGAUCCUGGCUCAGGAUGAACGCUAGCUACAGGCUUAACACAUGCAAGUCGAGGGGCAGCAUGAUUGAAGCUUGCUUCAAUCGAUGGCGACCGGCGCACGGGUGAGUAACACGUAUCCAACCUGCCGAUAAC
rnacentral:ncRNA from 1 species